ensembl:lincRNA
AGAGACAGCUAUAUCAGGGUCCUUUCAGCAAAAUCUUGCUGGCAUAUGCUAUAGUGUCGCGUUUGGUGGCUGCUUUUGGGAUGGAUCCCCGGGUGAGACAGUCUCUGGAUGGCCCAUCCUUUCGUCUCAGCUCCAAACUUUGUCUCUGAAAAAAUAUGGAACGCUUCACGAAUUUGCGUGUCAUCCUUGUGCAGGGGCCAUGCUAAUCUUCUCUUUUAGUAUAUGUGCUGCCGAAGCGAGCACAAACCCAAACUCUUAUUCCAAGUUAAAGACUUAACUUUCCUGUAUCAAUGAUGCGCUACAGAAUUGUUCCCUGCCUGCUUUCAAUUCCCAAAUCUUUCCCAAGUGAGGGAGCCCUGUAGGAGAAGCAGGCAAGUUUGAGCACAACUUGCUGACUCCUUUCACAGUUGCAUUCUCCCUCUAAGAAACCUUAGAAAUCUAGAGUCUGGUUUACCCUAAGCAUUCAGGGCAGCAUACGCUGGGCUGCAGCAUACUAGACAUAGACAGCAGGGGUCAGGAGGCAAUCUCAGCUGAGGCUCAUGACUUGUGAAAGAAGUCCCCUGACCCUUCCCCUCUCUCAUCAGCAACACCAGGACCACUCUCCCAAAGGAGUUUACAUUUUUGGUUUAUUCAUGGAGGGAGCACGAUGGGAUCCUGAGCAGGAAGUGCUGGAAGACUCACUGCCCAGUCAGCUAUGCUGUGAAUUUCCCGACAUACUCUUUUUGCCAACAAAGAUUACUGAACCGUCGGCCUCCCAGGAUUCUGACCAGACAGCCUCAGACCUGCAAACCUUUGAGUGCCCAGUCUACUACACGCCCGAGAGGUCAAGAAACAUGAUUGGCUUACCAACAACCGUGCUAACCUCAGUGCACUUACCCACGAAGAAACCUCCCAGUCACUGGAUCACCAUGCAGGUUGCACUGCUGUGUGAGAAGAAUGAGUGAAUAAACACCCAGAGCGAACCCAUCUAAGCCUGGGCUCUUCCUCCACGUCCAUGCAUGAGGACGGUCACAUGCAGGGAGCAUCCCUGGAACAGCAUGUGCCUAGCCAAACCUGGCGGGAGGUGUGGGAGACUUCAACAGGCAAGCAGUGGCUGUGCACUCUGUCAUAGAACACGAAAGCUUCGACUAUGCAUAUACAUUUGCUUCAAAGUGUCACAGAACCUAUAGCAGUUUUUAAGCACUUGGUGUUCUUAAACAGCAAACAGUAAACACGACCAGUUUUAGGAAUUCUAUCUACCCCUAAGCCCUCAGAUUCCACUGUUGGGAUUUGUUUUUAAGACAAGGUCUCCUCUCCAGCCCAGGAUGGCCUCAAACACAUGGAGAUCCUCCUGACCCACCCUCUUGGCCUGCUGCCAUUACAGGGGCGAGCCACCACUGAGUCAGGCCCUACAGUUUUUGCUUUGCUAAGUAAGUAAGUCCCUGGGUUCCUAGAGUUCAGAAAGACUCAAAAAAGGAAAAAAGGGGGAGGGGGAGUGGUAUGACAAAACAGAGAGUUGGCCAUCUUGCUGCUGGUAAUCCCAAAGCUGUGGCAAAGAAAUGAGGCUCUAACAGCAACUCUUUAUUUUCAACUUUUUGUUUCCAACCAAAAUUUUAUUACAAAGCUUGCCAAACAUCAAAUUAAAAACAACUUGCACCUAAUGUCCAGAUACUGUGGCACUGUCCGCCCUUUCAGAACCAGGCAAAGAACCCAAAGUUGUUUCCUUGUAAGCUUAUUAACACAUACCAUGUUGAUUCCAGCAGAAAGCAUGAUAGAAAACCACCUGCUGAACACCUUAGGACUAGUAAAACAGUAAAGAAUGACAGAAUGCAGAGCGUAGCACGGCAUGAUCAGACGGGCACAGCCACUUGACACUCUAAGCUACAGAGCAGGAAGACCUGAAUAUUUUGCAUCUAGCUCACAUGUGGUAUGUGUAAUAGAAACCCAAAUGUACACACUAUAUGUAUUGCAUCCUUAUGUUUACUCUGAGGACAAUGUAGCUUUGAAUAAAAAAGUCUAG